rnacentral:lncRNA from 1 species
UACAACAUCAAAGGUAAUAAUUAAAUUGUUAUAAAAAUAUAUUUGUAUAUGACUCUUUGCGAAUUGUUGAGAUACAGUACUAUUACAGAGCAGAAAUCUUAAUGCCAUAAGUCAGCAUUGCUACUACAAAGCAUAAUAAAUCUCCAAGCCAAAAUCAACAUUCAAAAGAAACCUAUCAGAUUUGAGAAGUUCAAAUCAUUACUCCCAAAAUUUUGGGGAGCAUUCUUCUCUUGAAUCUGGGUUUGGGUUUGAAUCUAGGUUUGUACUUCAGAAAAGUCACCCACCUUGACUUUUUGGGGCCUCGUAUGAUGUUCUUUCGUUCAAAUUUGAUCUGAAGCAUUUAAGUCGAAUUAUUCAAUCGAUAAACGCGUGAGAAUUAGAGGUUGCUUCCAAGAUUUACAGAGUUUGUCGACAAAAACGUAAGAGAUUUGUAACAGAAUUGGAAGAUUUAAUGAAACACAAUGAAAUUCAAAAUUGAAGAGUUUUAAUAAAUUGAAAUGAGAAUUCUUACCAAACUUUUGACGAAUUUAUGGGAUGUGAUUGACGGAACUCAACAACCGGUAGAAAAAUGAGCUGAAAUUGGGAAUAGAUUUUAAUUUGGGAACAAAGAUA